UAGUAAGAAGGGUGUAUGAAAAUGUGUGGAGGAAAAGGUGAAACGUGAAGAAAGAAGGGACGAAUGAGAAUGCAACAAGUAUAGAGAGAGUGAUUUCAGAACAUGUGAACAAAUCCCACGAAUCUGCAGUUCUCAGGUCCUUCUUACAUUGCUUUUUCUUCUUUUUGUACACUCACAUAUUACGUACUUCUGCUCUUCAUCUUCUUCACUAUUUUACCUCUCUUUAAGCAUAUUCUCGAUCAUAUGUUUCUUCCCACCAC
rnacentral:lncRNA from 1 species